rnacentral:rRNA from 1 species
CCGGCUUACCAACCCGAUGCAAACUGCGAAUACCGGAGAAUGUUAUCACGGGAGACACACGGCGGGUGCUAACGUCCGUCGUGAAGAGGGAAACAACCCAGACCGCCAGCUAAGGUCCCAAAGUCAUGGUUAAGUGGGAAACGAUGUGGGAAGGCCCAGACAGCCAGGAUGUUGGCUUAGAAGCAGCCAUCAUUUAAAGAAAGCGUAAUAGCUCACUGGUCGAGUCGGCCUGCGCGGAAGAUGUAACGGGGCUAAACCAUGCACCGAAGCUGCGGCAGCGACACUGUGUGUUGUUGGGUAGGGGAGCGUUCUGUAAGCCUGUGAAGGUGUGUCGUGAGGCAUGCUGGAGGUAUCAGAAGUGCGAAUGCUGACAUAAGUAACGAUAAAGCGGGUGAAAAGCCCGCUCGCCGGAAGACCAAGGGUUCCUGUCCAACGUUAAUCGGGGCAGGGUGAGUCGACCCCUAAGGCGAGGCCGAAAGGCGUAGUCGAUGGGAAACGGGUUAAUAUUCCCGUACUUGGUGUUACUGCGAAGGGGGGACGGAGAAGGCUAUGUUGGCCGGGCGACGGUUGUCCCGGUUUAAGCGUGUAGGUGUGUGUUCCAGGUAAAUCCGGUUCACUUUAACACUGAGGCGUGACGACGAGGCACUACGGUGCUGAAGCAACAAAUGCCCUGCUUCCAGGAAAAGCCUCUAAGCAUCAGGUAACAUCAAAUCGUACCCCAAACCGACACAGGUGGUCAGGUAGAGAAUACCAAGGCGCUUGAGAGAACUCGGGUGAAGGAACUAGGCAAAAUGGUGCCGUAACUUCGGGAGAAGGCACGCUGACACGUAGGUGAAGUGAUUUACUCAUGGAGCUGAAGUCAGUCGAAGAUACCAGCUGGCUGCAACUGUUUAUUAAAAACACAGCACUGUGCAAACACGAAAGUGGACGUAUACGGUGUGACGCCUGCCCGGUGCCGGAAGGUUAAUUGAUGGGGUCAGCGCAAGCGAAGCUCCUGAUCGAAGCCCCGGUAAACGGCGGCCGUAACUAUAACGGUCCUAAGGUAGCGAAAUUCCUUGUCGGGUAAGUUCCGACCUGCACGAAUGGCGUAAUGAUGGCCAGGCUGUCUCCACCCGAGACUCAGUGAAAUUGAACUCGCUGUGAAGAUGCAGUGUACCCGCGGCAAGACGGAAAGACCCCGUGAACCUUUACUAUAGCUUGACACUGAACAUUGAGCCUUGAUGUGUAGGAUAGGUGGGAGGCUUUGAAGUGUGGACGCCAGUCUGCAUGGAGCCGACCUUGAAAUACCACCCUUUAAUGUUUGAUGUUCUAACGUGGACCCGUUACCCGGGUUGCGGACAGUGUCUGGUGGGUAGUUUGACUGGGGCGGUCUCCUCCUAAAGAGUAACGGAGGAGCACGAAGGUUGGCUAAUCCUGGUCGGACAUCAGGAGGUU